UAAGGUAAAAAUAAAUUGUCCCAGAAAUGAAAUCUUUGCUAGUUUUUCUUCAUAGCAAAAGCACUUUUCACCACAAAGGGACCAUUCAGAGAAACAGUGACACGUAAAUAGAAGUAAGAAUGAGCCAACCGGAACAACUAGGUAUUGGGACAAUUAUUGUAGUCAGUCAAACAGAAAGCUGAAACAAAUGGAAACUCAGGAUUAAGUCUGACCAAUUUGACACAAGCAUCUCAAGAGCAUUGCCUGCUAGAAAAUAAUUGCUGNUUUCAUUNNNNNNNNNNNNNNNNNAUUUCAUUUCUUUCAUCCAUAACACAGUACAAUGCAUGCCAUCGUUAUCAAUACUUUCAAACAUACCUCACAAUGGCCAUCUACAAAAACCAAAUGUGGCCGAC
rnacentral:lncRNA from 1 species